UACGGGGGGGGGCAAGCGUUGUUCGGAAUUACUGGGCGUAAAGGGCUCGUAGGCGGCCAACUAAGUCAGACGUGAAAUCCCUAGGCUCAACCUAGGAACUGCGUCUGAUACUGGAUGGCUUGAAUCCGGGAGAGGGAUGCAGAAUUCCAGGUGUAGCGGUGAAAUGCGUAGAUAUCUGGAGGAAUACCGGUGGCGAAGGCGGCAUCCUGGACCGGCAUUGACGCUGAGGAGCGAAAGCUAGGGGAGCAAAGCGGG
rnacentral:rRNA from 1 species